rnacentral:rRNA from 1 species
CCUACGGGUGGCAGCAGUCGAGAAUCAUUCACAAUGGGGGAAACCCUGAUGGUGCGACGCCGCGUGGGGGAAUGAAGGUCUUCGGAUUGUAAACCCCUGUCAUGUGGGAGCAAAUUAAAAAGAUAGUACCACAAGAGGAUGAGACGGCUAACUCUGUGCCAGCAGCCGCGGUAAUACAGAGGUCUCAAGCGUAGUUCGGAAUCACUGGGCGUAAGGCGUGCGUAGGCUGUUUCGUAAGUCGUGUGUGAAAGGCGCGGGCUCAACCCGCGGACGGCACAUGAUACUGCGAGACUAGAGUAAUGGAGGGGGAACCGGAAUUCUCGGUGUAGCAGUGAAAUGCGUAGAUAUCGAAAGGAACACUCGUGGCGAAGGCGGGUUCCUGGACAUUAACUGACGCUGAGGCACGAAGGCCAGGGGAGCGAAAGGGAUUAGAUACCCCUGUAGUC